CGAUGCGCGCGGUUUGUGUGUGUGUGUGCCAUGCUGUGUUCUGCAAUGCUUCGUUACCACGUUUAUCGAUUAUGCACGUUGGUUACUUGAUUCAAUGUCAAGUGUACCUUCCAAGACGAUCUAGGUCCUAGUCUCGUGACUGAAGGCGAGUGCGGACGUACAGCAGCCUUUUGACAAGACUGUCGCCGAGUGUAAGGUACAUUGUGGACUGUAAAGCUGAAGAGUGCACAGUGGAUGCCUGAUUUUGGAACCGAGUGUGAUCGUCUGGGCGGUGUGUUCACUCUGCGGGGAUGAUGGCCAGAGGAAGGAUGAUAGACAGACGACAGCUUGCAGACGAAGAUGGGAGCGUUCUACCUGUGAGCCUGGUCGAGCUUAUAUUUUAUGGUAGGCAUUUGUUUCAAUCUUUACAAAGAGCUUCG